AUGUUUACAGGGCUCUUCAUU
rnacentral:miRNA from 1 species